rnacentral:misc_RNA from 1 species
AAAAGCAGGAUCGAACGUAUGAAGGUGUUAAGAAAUUGUGUAAUUAUGCUUGGAACGUGGAGAAUAGAAGAACUGCGGAACGUACUCAGGCAAUUCCUUCUGGUUCCUCCAGGCAAGCUCUUGAACUCCCUCCAACAACACCUUCACCAAAGCAAAAUCGGUCGUUGCCGAUUGGCUUUUCACCUGAAGCACUGUCUCCCUCCGAGUCUAAUGCUUCCUCUAACCAGGCUCAAGUUCAACGGCGAUCCCUCCAAAAUACUGUCUCAGACCCUGGCUUGAUGUUAGUAGGG